GCCCCGAUGGUGAUCGUGAGUGAUGGCAAGAGGAUUUAGCCUCAGCAUUAACUUGGAGCGGAGUGCAGGGGGGCAGUGAAGCGCCCCGGCCAUCUGGCCCCCGCCGCGCCCCGGGGGGGGGGAAUGCCCCGGCGCCCCGACGAGCCGCCGCGAAGCCCACCCGGGCCGGGGGCUGCCCGGUGCCCGAGCGCGGGUCCUCUCCGAGCCGCCCAGGGGGCCCCAAAAGUUUGCACUUGUUAGCGGCGACCUCCGGCUCGGCCCCCGGCGGGCGAUGCGGGCGGCGCGGGCGGCCCCCUCCCCCGGCCCGCGUCUCCGGGACGGCUGCGGGCGGCCCCCCCGGGGGCCGGAGGGCUCCCCAGCCCCGAUCUGACAGCCACAGAGGCGGCGGGGGAAGGAGCAGCGGCUCGCAGCCCUCGGCCUUCGCCCCCACCCAGCGCCAGCCGGACGGGGGAGCAGAGCGCCGGAGGGUGGCGGCCUCCGGGGUCUCCGCUCCGGGAAGCCGCUCCGAGCCGGGGUGUUGUUGCUAAUGAGCUCUCUCUUCUCCCUCCCUACAAUGAAAGACAAGCCAGACCCCGGGUACCUGGAUGGAUUGGGAGCUGAAGUCUCAGAAACAUCCUGAUAAGUUGCCGACGGCUACCAGCCGAGGUCAGCUGGCCCUGUUAGCGCCUGUCCCAACCAAAGCAGGCCCAGAUCCGCUGCCCCCCAGGUAACACCUCGGUCGCUUUUUGUGCUCCAGCUGCGUGACUGCUGUCACUUUCAGCCCAUAUGAAAAGAAAUCUCUUUCACUUUGGUGAAAAUGCCAAGGUCCAAAAUGCCACGUCCAGUCCCAUAGCGGGGACGUGUGUGCAGCUCACAGGUACUCCACCUGAUUUUGUUUUAUCUUUACAACGCAGGCC
ensembl:lncRNA